CAGCAGCCACGGUAAUACGGAGGGUGCAAGCGUUAAUCGGAAUUACUGGGCGUAAAGCGCACGCAGGCGGUCUGACAAGUCAGAUGUGAAAUCCCCGGGCUUAACCUGGGAACUGCAUUUGAAACUGUCAGGCUGGAGUCUUGUAGAGGGGGGUAGAAUUCCAGGUGUAGCGGUGAAAUGCGUAGAGAUCUGGAGGAAUACCGGUGGCGAAGGCGGCCCCCUGGACAAAGACUGACGCUCAGGUGCGAAAGCGUGGGGAGCAAACAGGAUUAGAUACCCGUGUAGUCCCUGUCUCUUAUAC
rnacentral:rRNA from 1 species